rnacentral:rRNA from 1 species
GUGGGGAAUCUUCCGCAAUGGACGAAAGUCUGACGGAGCAACGCCGCGUGAGUGAUGACGGCCUUCGGGUUGUAAAGCUCUGUGAUCGGGGACGAAUGGCUGGUAUGCUAAUACCAUAUCAGAGUGACGGUACCCGAAUAGCAAGCCACGGCUAACUACGUGCCAGCAGCCGCGGUAAUACGUAGGUGGCAAGCGUUGUCCGGAAUUAUUGGGCGUAAAGCGCGCGCAGGCGGCUUCUUAAGUCCAUCUUAAAAGUGCGGGGCUUAACCCCGUGAUGGGAUGGAAACUGGGAGGCUGGAGUAUCGGAGAGGAAAGUGGAAUUCCUAGUGUAGCGGUGAAAUGCGUAGAGAUUAGGAAGAACACCGGUGGCGAAGGCGACUUUCUGGACGACAACUGACGCUGAGGCGCGAAAGCGUGGGGAGCAAACAGGAUUAGAAACCCUUGUAGUCC